rnacentral:tRNA from 1 species
GCCUGGGUGGCUCAGUGGUUGAGCAUCUGCCUUUGGCUCAGGUUGUGAUCCUGGGGUCUGGGAUCGAGUCCCACAUCAGGCU